rnacentral:lncRNA from 1 species
GGAUCUUCUCAUUCAAAAUUACACACAGAAUCCAAGCUCACCGAAACCAUCAUCUCCAUCUCUCUCUCCGCCUCUACCUAACGUUCCAUCCCUCAAGCUCUCCAUAGCUCACAAAGCCAUCUCUUGGCUUUACAUCAAUGAGAGGAAACAAAAAAACCAGUUUCCUCGUCACGUCAUAAAACUCGGUGGAAUUUGCCCCAAAUUUGUCAAAUUUCCCCCCCACUUCACCAAAGUUUUCCCCUGAAUGGCUAGAAAUUCGCUGAGAAUUGCCGGAAAAAUGAGCAUUAUUGAGAAAAUUUUCCUCCCAUUCUAAGUCGAACAAAAAGGAGCGGGGUUCUUGGGUUCACCGGGAAAGGAGCGAGCGAUAGUUAGAAUUGGCCAACACGAGGAGAGAGCGAUAGAGGCCUUUGGCUAAUAGGGCGUAAGCCAGGAGAGAGAGGUUUGGGGAGAAUCACGUAGGGAGAGAAAGAGAGGUUUGGG